UACGGAGGGGGCUAGCGUUGUUCGGAAUUACUGGGCGUAAAGCGUACGUAGGCGGCUUUGUAAGUUAGAGGUGAAAGCCCGGGGCUCAACCCCGGAAUUGCCUUUAAGACUGCAUCGCUUGAAUCAUGGAGAGGUGAGUGGAAUUCCGAGUGUAGAGGUGAAAUUCGUAGAUAUUCGGAAGAACACCAGUGGCGAAGGCGACUCACUGGACAUGUAUUGACGCU
rnacentral:rRNA from 1 species